CUUCUUUUCUUCUGCUUGUUAUAAUUUAAUUCACGGGUGUUUUAGUGAGCACCCUUGAUCUGUUGCUAACAUUAUGCUGUUUUCUCUCCUUCUCUAGCACCCCAGAAGAAAUUGAGGAGUCCUCCUCCGAGGAUCUGGAUUUGGAGACUUGGCAUUUCUGUAUGGUAUCAGCGCCGCAGCCAUGCCCGGAUGCCAGGCGUGAGGACCCCCUUCGCGUGGAGUCCUAUGAAUCCUGGGUCACCAUUGAUAAUCUAUCGGAAGACGGGAGCAUGGACAUACUAUGGAGCCAGCUGUCCCAGGGAGAGAAGUAAC